GAUGAACGCUGGCGGCGUGCCUAAUACAUGCAAGUCGAGCGAACGGACGAGAAGCUUGCUUCUCUGAUGUUAGCGGCGGACGGGUGAGUACCACGUGGAUAACCUCCCUAUCAGACUGGGAUAACUUCGGGACACCGGAGCUAAUACCGGAUAAUAUUAUGAACCGCAUGGUUCAAAAGUGAAAGACGGUCUUGCUGUUACUUCUAGAUGUAUCCGCGCUGCUUUAGCUAGUUGGUAAGGUAACGGUUUACCAAGGCAACGGUGCAUAGCUGACCUGAGAGGGGGAUCGGCCACGCUGGAACUGAAACACGGUCCAGACUCCUACGGGGGGCAGCAGUAGGGAAUCUUCCGCAAUAGGCGAAAGCCUGACGGAGCAACGCCGCGUGAGUUAUGAAGGUCUUCGGGUCGUAAAACUCUGUUAUUAGGGAAGAACAUAUGUGUAAGUAACUGUGCACAUCUUGACGGUACCUAAUCAGAAAGCCACGGCUAACUACGUG
rnacentral:rRNA from 1 species